CAAUAGCGUAUAUUAAAGUUGUUGCAGUUAAAAAGCUCGUAGUUGGAUUUGUGGCGUACGGUGUGUUCCGGGCACUUGUUGUCUGAGUAACCUGCUGUUGCCAUCCUUGGGUGGAACCUGUGUGGCAUUAGGUUGUCGUGCAGGGGAUGCCCAUCAUUUGCUGUGAAAAAAUUAGAGUGUUCAAAGCAGGCUUAUGCCGUUGAAUAUAUUAGCAUGGAAUAAUGAGAUAGGACUUUUUUGCUAUUUUGUUGGUUUGCGCAAAGAGGUAAUGAUUAAUAGGGACAGUUGGGGGUAUUCGUAUUCCAUUGUCAGAGGUGAAAUUCUUGGAUUUUUGGAAGACGAACUACUGCGAAAGCAUUUACCAAGGAUGUUUUCAUUAA
rnacentral:rRNA from 1 species